rnacentral:rRNA from 1 species
UACGGGGGGGGCAAGCGUUGUUCGGAAUUACUGGGCGUAAAGGGCUCGUAGGCGGCCAACUAAGUCGGAUGUGAAAUCCCCAGGCUCAACCUGGGAACUGCAUCCGAUACUGGAUGGCUUGAAUUCGGGAGAGGGAUGCAGAAUUCCAGGUGUAGCGGUGAAAUGCGUAGAUAUCUGGAGGAACACCAAUUGCGAAGGCAGCUCGCUGGGACGUGACUGACGCUGAGACGCGAAAGCGUGGGGAGCAAACAGG